UUCGUGAAGGGCGUUUCUGCCUUUGUCUAAGUUAACUUGAAUACAGGAAUAUUCCUUGUUUGGGAGUGUGCAAGUGACGCGACUAUCCAUAAUCGAUUUUGUCGCGCAGACGGUUGGUCAAUUGGUUUAUAAGUGGACAUGAGUUGGAGGUGGCACUGUGGUUUGUUUUAAUGGGAUUUGCAGGAUCUUUACGUUUUUGUUGUUUGGAGCAAUUAAAACAGCAAAUUUUGUUUUCGUCUGUGUUGUUAGGGCAGUUGCGAUAGUUGUGAUCAGUGGAUGAGCAGUGUGAGCAGAUGAGUGUGUCGGACGUACACCUUUUUUGCGUGUGGCCAAAUUGUAGGCAUUUGAAGCAUUGGAGAAGGGGAACGUAUUCCUCGACGUGGACCCUCUGGUGGUCCACGUUGAGUCUGCCGGAAGAGACGAUGGUGCGCCAGAGCAUGGGUGUCGUAAUGAAGACUGCAUUGUAAAGUUUGCUGUUUCUAUUGUUUCUUUUGAAUUUAAAUUGAAAGUCCUCAUCAUUAGUUAUCAAAGGAGACGGGAACUUCUGGGCCCAAGUUGUAAUAGGUUGAAAGAUAGCUUAAAAAAUCCGUUAUUUUUUUCUACUAAAUCAUUUAAAAAAUCAGCUCAAUUCACAAUCUGGAAGAUGAGAAAUGUAAAAAAUAAGAUAAGAUCAAAAAUAAAAUAGGUAAUCGAUAAUUUUAAUCGAUUUGUAUGCAUAUCAAUUUUAUAUAAAAAUAUAGAAGAGGCUAAUGGGGAUAUAAAUAUAGUAACAAUAUUAAAAACUAUUUAGUUCAAUUAAAUUAAUCUACUGUGAAUCAAGAGAUAUAAGUAAUAAAUAGAAAUCUAAAAAUCGAUUCUCAUUUACAAAAUCGUUUCACGAGUUGAUUACGACUCUAUUUUUAUCUAUGUUGACAGUGACAUGACACUGACAGCAGUCCCGGCGACCGGCGUAUGCGUUUAGAAAACUUUGUUUACACGUUUGACUUUGGCUCCUUAGUUUGGAUUUAUUUGCCGGCUUAUCGAUUGGAAAUCGACAUCAUGGAUCUUUGUGUGAACUGUGGCAUAGAAAAGAAAAAGACAGACGAGUCUUGAAUGACGAAAUGAUUCUCUUAGUGAUUCGUCGAUGGCGUACACCGCAGCCUGUAAACAACAGUGACUAUAUUUGCUAAGCUUGCUGGAACAAACAUCAGCUAUUGAUCAACCAAGACAAUUUGGCCACCGUAAUGUUUGCCUCCGCUGUGGUCGCUCUGUUGCAUCACGAGUCACUCAUCUGCUUCAUACAGGCUCAUCUUGUGAACUGAGAAUUUAUAAUGCCAUAGAAGAAUGUAUUAUGCCUCGAACUAUAGAACAAGGAAGCCACAUCUGUCAUAAUUGUUGGGUGGCUGCAGACAGGGCUGCUGUCCAUAUGGUCUCAGGCCCAUCAACUUCUUCCCGAGUUCUAACUGAGCCUCCUGCUAGCCAGCCUGGAGAAGAUAGAAACAACCAACCAGAACCUACUAUUGUAUUACCAGGAUAUAUGAGAGCUGUUCCUCUUUUUAAAGUAUUAUGUUCCUGAGAAUAAUCGUCUAUGUGAUAUUCAUUAAGUUAUUGAAGGCUGGGAUGUAAUGAUAAUUUAAAUGUUUUUCCCCAGCGAACUCACAGUGAACUAAUUCUCGUACCAUUAGGUAUUUAUCAAAUUGUUUCAAAAAUGUUGUAAAGGCAAAAGGGCUGUAGGCUUCUGCGCACAUGUUAUGUCAAUAAUAUGGUACCUUAGUUGGGCUAGGUACCAAGAAAAUAUAGUACCCCCUGCACAAUUCUUAGAUGAUAUAUUAAAUAUAAUUGAAAAUGAAUAAAAAUCAACUAAA